rnacentral:rRNA from 1 species
AUUGAACGCUGGCGGCAUGCUUUACACAUGCAAGUCGGACGCGUGGGGAACGGGUGAGUAACGCAUCGGAACGCACGGAGUAAUGGGGGAUAACUGGCCGAAAGGACAGCUAAUACCGUAUAGUAUUCGGGCGGCCAAUGUAUGAUGAGCUGGUUGGCGGGGUAAAGGCCCACCAAGGCGACGAUCAGUAGCGGGUCUGAGAGGAUGAGCCGCCACACUGGGACUGAGACACGGCCCAGACUCCUACGGGAGGCAGCAGUGGGGAAUUUUGGACAAUGGGCGCAAGCCUGAUCCAGCCAUGCCGCGUGUCUGAAGAAGGCCUUCGGGUUGUAAAGGACUUUUGUCAGGGAAGCGGUACCUGAAGAAUAAGCACCGGCUAACUACGUGCCAGCAGCCGCGGUAAUUC